rnacentral:lncRNA from 1 species
UAUUUUUUCAUGAUUUGGUUAGGAUUUAGGAUUUAGAAUUUUGCUAGGAUUUUAUUAAGAUUGGUCUAAGAUUUGGGAUUUGGUUAGGAUUUGGAAUUUGAUUAGAAUUUUCUUAGGAUUUAGUUUAGGAUUUGAUUAGAAUUUAGGAUUAUUUUAGGAUUUGAUUAAGAUUUAAUUAAUAUUUACUUAAGAUUUAAUUUAAUAUUUGAUUAUAAUUUAGGAUUUGACUAGGAUUUGAUUAGGAUUUGAUUGGAAUUUGAUUAGGAUUUGAAGAAGAUUUAGGAUUUUGCUAGGAUUUUAGUAGGAUUGAUCUAGAAUUUGAGAUUUAGUUAGAAUUUUGAAUUUGAUUAGGAUUUAUUUUAGGAUUUGAUUAAGAUUCAUGAUUUUUUUAGAAUUUAAUUAUGAAUUAAUUUAUAAAAUAGAAUUUGAUUUAAGAUUUGAUUUAAGAUUUGAUUAUGAUUUGAGAUUUUGUUAAGAUUUGAUUAGGAUUUAAUUAGGAUUUUUUUAAGAUUUUAUUUAAGAUUUGAUUAGGAUUUAGGUUUUGAUUAGGAUUUAUUUAGAAUUUAUUUGAAAUUUAAUUAGAAUUUGAUCAAGGUUUAGAUGAGAUUUCAUUAGAAUUUAUAAAGAUUUGGUUUAAAGUUUGACUUAGAUUGGUUUAGGAUUUUAUUAGGAUUUGUUGAAAGUUACAUUAGGAUUUUAUUAGCAUUCAAUUAAGAUAUCUAUUUUUGAUAUUUUUUAAA